rnacentral:rRNA from 1 species
GCGGCGGACGGGUGAGUAAUGCCUAGGAAUCUGCCUAGUAGUGGGGGAUAACUUGCCGAAAGGUAAGCUAAUACCGCAUACGUCCUACGGGAGAAAGCAGGGGACCUUCGGGCCUUGCGCUAUUAGAUGAGCCUAGGUCGGAUUAGUUAGUUGGUGAGGUAAUGGCUCACCAAGACCGCGAUCCGUAACUGGUCUGAGAGGAUGAUCAGUCACACUGGAACUGAGACACGGUCCAGACUCCUACGGGAGGCAGCAGUGGGGAAUAUUGGACAAUGGGGGGAACCCUGAUCCAGCCAUGCCGCGUGUGUGAAGAAGGUCUUAGGAUUGUAAAGCACUUUAAGUUGGGAGGAAGAGCAGUUAACUAAUAUUUGACUGUUUUGACGUUACCGACAGAAUAAGCACCGGCUAACUUCGUGCCAGCAGCCGCGGUAAUACGAAGGGUGCAAGCGUUAAUCGGAAUUACUGGGCGUAAAGCGCGCGUAGGUGGUUCGUUAAGUUAGGAGUGAAAGCCCCGG